GCAAGUCGAGCGGGAAUCAUUCAGUAGCAAUAUUGGGUGGUUUCAGCSSCGCAAGGGUGCGUAGCACGUGGGUAAUUUACCCUGAAGCCUGAAAUAACUCCGGGAAAUCGGAGCUAAUAUCGGAUGUGGAUUGCUGGUGGAAUCACCGACAGUCUAAAGCUGGGGACCGUAAGGCCUGGCACUUCUGGAUAAGCCCGCGGCCUAUCAGCUAGUUGGUGAGGUAACGGCUCACCAAGGCUAAGACGGGUAGCUGGUCUGAGAGGACGACCAGCCACACUGGAACUGAGACACGGUCCAGACACCUACGGGUGGCAGCAGUCGAGAAUUUUUCACAAUGGGCGCAAGCCUGAUGGAACGACGCCGCGUGGGGGAUGAAUGGCUUCGGCCCGUAAACCCCUGUCAUUUGCGAACAAAUCCUGCGGAUUAACACCCCGUUGGUUGAUUGUAGCAGAAGAGGAAGGGACGGCUAACUCUGUGCCAGCAGCCGCGGUAAUACAGAGGUCCCAAGCGUUGUUCGGAUUCACUGGGCAUAAAGGGUGCGUAGGCGGAUGGCUAAGUCUGCUGUGAAAGCUCCGAGCUUAACUCGGAAAUUGCAGUGGAAACUGAUCAUCUAGAGGUGUGGAGGGGGGACUGGAAUUCUCGGUGUAGCAGUGAAAUGCGUAGAGAUCGAGAGGAACACCAGUGGCGAAGGCGAGUCCCUGGACACCAYCUGACGCUGAGGCACGAAAGCUAGGGGAGCAAACAGGAUUAGAUACCCUGGUAGUCCUAGCCCUAAACGGUGAGUGCUUGCUGUAGGCGGAAUCGACCCCGY
rnacentral:rRNA from 1 species